rnacentral:misc_RNA from 1 species
GCAUUCUGGGGGCUGUUUUGGCUUUUGGUUGCUUGCUUGGCCUUUUGGCUUGGKGGGUCGCUACUARUCGAGCGGUUUUCGGGAAUGUCNACCGUAAAGGUGCAUGAGUGGUGUUUGGUUUGUUACGGGUGGUUGGCUGUCUGCUUGCGCAACAACGUCCACGCGUGCAUACCUCUUCAGUUUUGCGGCAAGACUUGCUUUGUCUUGUGCAUAUAGUGGGUUUCCUGUGUUGCAUACCUAACCAACGGCAACGUGUCGGUUUUAUGAUGUUUCAUUUCGUCAUGCGUCGCUCAUGCGGCGUGGGAUGAACAUUGAAGCGGUCUUUGUGAUCCACUUUGUUGAUGCAUUUGCAACGAUGAUGUGGCCAACGAAGCAUCGCUUGGUUUCUUGUAUACGGAACCUGAUGUGGGCAUGGGUCUUCUAAGAUCCUGAAUCUGCCCUCGUUAAGCGUUCUCGCUUCUCCAAAACGAUUGUCUACCAUGUCUUGGCUUGUCCUUGCAUGGUUGGCUACGUCGA